rnacentral:rRNA from 1 species
GCGAAAGCCUGAUCCAGCCAUGCCGCGUGUGUGAAGAAGGUCUUCGGAUUGUAAAGCACUUUAAGUUGGGAGGAAGGGCAGUUACCUAAUACGUGAUUGUUUUGACGUUACCGACAGAAUAAGCACCGGCUAACUCUGUGCCAGCAGCCGCGGUAAUA